GACGAACGCUGGCGGCGUGCCUAAUACAUGCAAGUCGAACGCAGUGGGGACGGGUGAGUAACACGUGGGUAACCUCCCAUCAGAGGGGAUAACACUUGGAAACAGGUGCUAAACCGAUACUGAUGGAUGGACCCGCGGUGCAUUAGCUAGUUGGAGAGGUAACGGCUCACCAAGGCCACGAUGCAUAGCCGACCUGAGAGGGUGAUCGGCCACACUGCGACUUAAACAGGGACCAGACUCCUACGGGAGGCAGCAGUAGGGGAUCUUCGGCAAUGGACGAAAGUCUGACAGAGCAACGCCGCGUGAGUGAAGAAGGUUUUCGGAUCGUAAAACUCUGUUGUUAGAGAAGCGGUAUCUAACCGGAGAGCCACGGCUAACUACGUGCCAGCAGCCGCGGUAAUUC
rnacentral:rRNA from 1 species